rnacentral:lncRNA from 1 species
AGAACCUAAAUGGUAGAGCAACAAACAGCAGCCUGUGCGGGAAGAUAAUGAAAUUUACAAAGCUUCUAGGAAGGCCCAUCUCAAGUCCUUGCAGCUGAGAGAAUCUGAGCCUGCCACCUCAGAAGUGCCUAAGGAUGGUUGUGAGCAUGUGUGGAUGACUUCUUCAGGAGCCGGACAGCAGUACCGUGGGUGUGAGUGAGUGUGGGUGCUUGUGUGGAGAACAAGGACAACUUUUGGGAAUCGAUUCUCUUACCAUGUAAGUUCUGGGGACUAAACUCAGGGAUCAGAGGUUGCACAAGUGCUUUCACCUGCUGAGACACAUCGAUGCCCCUCCCCCCUUUUUGAGUUAGGGUCUCAUGCAGCCCACAAUGGUCUCAAACUUAUUUAGCCAACAGUGACCUUGAACCCUGAUCCUCCUGUCUCCCUCUCUCAGCUGCUUGGAUUGGAGGUGUGUGUCACCGUGUUCAAUUAAUGAAAGCCAAAUUUUAAGUGGGCUGCCACCAGCGGAGGUCAGGGUGUCCCCUUCUGCCCUGUGGUGCAUCAGAACCUUCCCAUGCAGUGGGGAAGGGAGCCCUCCCCAACCCCUGCUAGGAGAGAACGCAGUGUUUUAGGGAUAAGUCUACAGCAGGCACCUCCAAAUUAGACAGCUAGUCAUUAUGAAGACUUAAGUCACCUUUAAAAUCAUAGUCAGGCAUGGUGGUUCAUUUGUCUAAUCCCAGCACUUGAGAGGCUGACUCACGAGGAUUGAGACCAGCUUGGCUAGCUACAGGAGGCCUUUUCUUGAAAUGCAAAAAUGAAAGGGGGGGUGGCUCACACCUUUAAUCCCCACACUAGAGAGGUAGAGGCAGGUGGAUCUCUGAGUUUGAAGCCAGCCUGAUUUACAUAAUGAAUUCUCAGACAGCUAGGGUUACUUAGAGAGAUUCUGAAUCAGAUAGAUAGAUAGAUAGAUAGAUAGAUAGAUAGAUAGAUAGAUAGAUAGAUGACCUCUGACCUGCAUGUACAACACACACACACAAAUCACUAAAAGAAACAGAUUGAAAAUGAUCAAAGUGCAUUAUAUAUACAUCUACGAAGUGUCAUAAUGAAACCUUUGUUUCCCAUAACUAAUGAACGCUAAUCAACUUCUUAUUCCCAAAGUGAACUCAUUAAUAACAGCUUCAGAAUUUGAGGUACACACAUCGGCUGGCACUCCUCGAAAAGCCAAACAGUCUCUUUCACGCUCCAAGGCAGAGUAAGAGGUCAUGAGCCUACCCUGGAGCAGUCUGAGGUCCCUCAGGUCAAGUUGGGACCUGACUAAGAUCACACAGUGCUGAAGGUCGAAGAGCUAAGUGAAAGGGAGGUGGGAGCAAAGGCCAAACCACCGAGUCUCACACCCAAGGGACGAGAAGCAAAGACAGCGGCGGCCCAUUAUCUGCAGCAGGAAAUGUUGGUGAUCCCAAAGCCUGGUAAAGUGUCACCCUUCACCUAAGUAAGCAAGCUCAGUAAACUUCCCCGCUGUGAUCUCCUGGCCUUCCCAGAAUGCCUCUGGUCCCCUCUGAGCGCUCAAUUCAACGACAGGGGUGCUGGGUCCUGGCCCCUGAGCCUUAGAGACUCAAAACUGCAAAGCCAUUUUAACAUCAACCAAAACAGAAAGAUCCAUUCCAUUUCCCCCCCCCCCCCCCGUGGUGUUUGUUUGUUUUUUGGAGGCAGAGUAUCGAUAUUCAUCUCAAGCUUCCUUUCACUGUGUUGUCUGCAGCCACAGAUCCUCCUGCAUCCUCCUGCUUCCGAAAUGCUGGGAUCAAUGUCUACCAGAAAGCAUCCGAACUUGGGGAUCAUGGUACAUCACUUCUGUAAUCUCAGAGCUGCAGACGCCGAGGCCAGAGGAUCAGGAGCACAAGGCCAUCCUCGAGUCUAUGGAGAAUUUUGGUUUCUUUUAAAACCCAGUUAUGUUGUGGGAAUGAGUGUGUGUGUGUGUGUUGUGUGUGUGUCUAUACCUAUCUAUCUUGCCCCAGAGAACCAGAACCCCUAAUCAUCAAGAAGUAGUCUAUAUACACCCCCUUUCUCCUCUAACUUCUUUCUCUCCAACCUACUGUUGGGGUUUGUAAUAAAAGUCGGGAGGUAGACGUAUAAGAACCUAAUAAAGUAGUUUUUUUUUUUUUU